rnacentral:rRNA from 1 species
UUACAGGCUUAACACAUGCAAGUCGAGGGGCAGCAUGGUCUUAGCUUGCUAAGGCCGAUGGCGACCGGCGCACGGGUGAGUAACGCGUAUCCAACCUGCCUUACACUCUUGGACAGCCUUCUGAAAGGGAGAUUAAUACAAGAUGUUAUCAUGAGUAAGCAUUUUCGCAUGAUUAAAGGUUUACCGGUGUAAGAUGGGGAUGCGUUCCAUUAGAUAGUAGGCGGGGUAACGGCCCACCUAGUCUUCGAUGGAUAGGGGUUCUGAGAGGAAGGUCCCCCACAUUGGAACUGAGACACGGUCCAAACUCCUACGGGAGGCAGCAGUGAGGAAUAUUGGUCAAUGGACGAGAGUCUGAACCAGCCAAGUAGCGUGAAGGAUGAAGGUUCUAUGGAUUGUAAACUUCUUUUAUACGGGAAUAAACGGAUCCACGUGUGGAUUUUUGCAUGUACCGUAUGAAUAAGGAUCGGCUAACUCCGUGCCAGCAGCCGCGGUAAUACGGAGGAUCCGAGCGUUAUCCGGAUUUAUUGGGUUUAAAGGGAGCGUAGAUGGGUUGUUAAGUCAGUUGUGAAAGUUUGCGGCUCAACCGUAAAAUUGCAAUUGAUACUGGCAGUCUUGAGUACAGUUGAGGUAGGCGGAAUUCGUGGUGUAGCGGUGAAAUGCUUAGAUAUCACGAAGAACUCCGAUUGCGAAGGCAGCUUACUAACCUGUAACUGACAUUGAUGCUCGAAAGUGUGGGUAUCAAACAGGAUUAGAUACCCUGGUAGUCCACACGGUAAACGAUGAAUACUCGCUGUAGGCGAUAUACAGUCUGCGGCCAAGCGAAAGCAUUAAGUAUUCCACCUGGGGAGUACGCCGGCAACGGUGAAACUCAAAGGAAUUGACGGGGGCCCGCACAAGCGGAGGAACAUGUGGUUUAAUUCGAUGAUACGCGAGGAACCUUACCCGGGCUUAAAUUGCAACCGAAUAUGGCGGAAACGCUAUAGCUAGCAAUAGCGGUUGUGAAGGUGCUGCAUGGUUGUCGUCAGCUCGUGCCGUGAGGUGUCGGCUUAAGUGCCAUAACGAGCGCAACCCUUGCCGAUAGUUACUAACAGGUCAUGCUGAGGACUCUGUCGGGACUGCCAUCGUAAGAUGUGAGGAAGGUGGGGAUGACGUCAAAUCAGCACGGCCCUUACGUCCGGGGCUACACACGUGUUACAAUGGGGGGUACAGAGGGCUGCUACCACGCAAGUGGAUGCCAAUCCCAAAAACCUCUCUCAGUUCGGAUUGAAGUCUGCAACCCGACUUCAUGAAGCUGGAUUCGCUAGUAAUCGCGCAUCAGCCACGGCGCGGUGAAUACGUUCCCGGGCCUUGUACACACCGCCCGUCAAGCCAUGGGAGCCGGGGGUACCUGAAGUGCGUAACCGCAAGGAGCGCCCUAGGGUAAAACUGGUGACUGGG